rnacentral:lncRNA from 1 species
CUGCCUGUAGGCUUGAUGUCUUUCCCCUACAACACGCCUUGCUUGCCAGGCUGGAAGAGGGGCUCCAGAAACUCGGGAAACCUGGGCCUGUAGCUGGCAUGUGGAAAAAAGGCCUGGAAAAGCACCAUUCCUGUCCAUGAAGCCCCCAGAUGGAACCAGGUCCUGUUCAGAAACCCCAUCUGUGCCUUUGGAGGGACUGCCCUGAGCACAGAGGCCCACAUCUACGGCCCCCAGGACCUAAUCCCCUUCUACAUAGGGGUUCAGUGCAUGUCACAGGCCCAGCAAUCACAUCUGCAGCCCCCAGGACCUAAUCCCGUUCUACAUAGGGUUCAGUGCAUGUUAGCAAACACUGGGCUCGAUUCUUGCCUAGUCCCUGCCAGAUAUCCCAUGCCCACCUCAUUAAGAGAAUGAGGCCACACAAACACACCCAGGCCAUCGUGGUGAUGGAGUGGCUGGGGUCCCACUUGCCCAUCCUUCAUUGCUGGUUCAGAGCCAGCUGUCUGACCACAUUCCUACUCCAAGAUGGGACUUUGGGGACAUUGUCCACCAGGGUCGCUGACCCCUUUUAAAGUUCCAGAAACAUGGCCAGCUGGUCCCCUAGAAGUUUGGUACAUGGGAUAAGCCAAGGCUUGUCUUCAGGAACAGGUUUUCCACCACGUCGCUGCCCAAGGCCCAGGGCAUCCCCAAGUUCACGUGAAGCCUGCCUGCCAUGUCCACAGCCCAUGCCGAGCCCUCCUGGAGCCACUGGAAUGCUUGUUCCUGGGCAUGUGAUGAACCCAGACAGCUUCCGCCUUGCAGGACAACUGUGUGCAUCUGGCAGCAGUAGCCAGAGGGCCCAUGGAAGAUGGAGGUGAAACCAGAUGCUGUGAGAACACUAUUAGUCAAAACUGCAUACUAUAGAAAUGCUUUAAAAUGCAGCAGGAGAUGUGAAGACACAAAUGAACAAGCGCAUAGUGACACAUGGCUGUCAGAACACAGGAAAGAAUCCACACUGCCUCCCCCCUUUACCUAGAAAAGGAGAGUUCUAGGCCACCUCCUCCUCAGCACACUCCUCAUCCUCCUCCUCCUCCGCCGUGGCAUCCUGAUAUUGCUGAUAUUCAGGCACCAGGUCGUUCACGUUGCUCUCGGCCUCGGUGAAUUCCAUCUCAUCCAUGCCCUCGCCCGUGUACCAGUGGAGGAAGGCCUUGCGCCUGAACAUUGCUGUAAACUGCUCUGAGACACAUGUGAAGAGUUCCUGGAUGGCCGUAUUAUUCCCAAUGAAG